ACCAAGUUUAUUAACACCAAAUUAAUUAGCAAAAAUAAAAUGCACAAUUAGAAGAGAGUUAGGUUUACGUGAGGAACUCAGCUUCUUCCUCUCCUCUUCACGAGACCGACGGUGAUUUCGUUUUCCUUCUCCGGCCAAUUCCGCCGCUCUCCACCGUAACAGAAAGAACCAAAUCCUCAUCUUCUCGCCUUGCUCUCAAUCUUAGAUUUCCUUCCCAAUCUAACUCUCUCCGAUCUCAGUUCUUGCUCAAUCUCAAACAUGCGGUGCGUUUCCGAUUACGUUGUUGUGGUUAUCGAAUUGGUGUAAAUCGAAAGAUGAUUGUAGAUGCGUGAUGAAGAUGAAGCGAUGAUCGAAGCCAUGAACGGGAAGAUAGAAAUCAGACGCACGGAACUUGUCAACAAUGGCGAAGAGGAUGCGUAUCGUUGGAGGUUGACGCCAUUUCAUUAGGUUCUUGGAUGAAGAAGCGGAUUGAAGCGUGAAGGAGAUGGAGGAUUCAGGCUCGAGAGAGAAAGAUGAUGAAAUUGGUGUCAAGAUGAAGAUGAGCAAUGAAGUCCUCAGAUCGAAAAAAUUCAAGGUGGUGAAGAUUCAGAAGUUGAUUAAAGUUGUCGAUUCAGAAAAAGGAUUGAGAGAGAUUCGAUGAUGAAGAUGAUGAGAGAAAGAUUACGUUUCUGUUUUCUCUUUUGCAGGUCUUGUGAUUUUUUCUGUUGAAUUCGGGAUGGAUGCGUGGGUGAUUGAGAGUGAUGAAGAAGGGUUAUUGUGAAGUCAAGAUUAAAUAAAGAACUUUUUUUUUGAUGAAGACAAAUCUCUAAAUAACAAGAAGGCAAAGAUGAGUUGUUAAAAUAUCAAUGAUCAAGGCUUUGGAAUCAAGCUUGCACUUCAAGAAGGUAUAAUGACUAUAAUUACAUUCUCUAAAAGUCUUAGAUGCUCAAGAAAUCAACCAACCAUUGCAUAGACCAUCCAUGAUAAUAGCAAACAUUUGCAAAAUCUUUUAUUCAAGUUUUACACUGGGUAAAUCGAUUUACCAUAACAUGAAAUCGAUUUGCCACUGUCUUAAAACAUUUCCAAAAGCAAAAAUUCACUUUUUGCACUAUGGAAAUCGAUUUACCUAAAGAGGAAAUCGAUUUCCCACUGAUUGUUUUUGAAAUUUUGUUAACGUUACAUGCAUGAAAUCAAUUUCAUGCUAAGGGAAAUCGAUUUCCCCUGUACGUUUUUUGAAAAACAGCAGCAUUUCAUAGCACCUUUCCACACACCUUUUCAUGGAAACAUUUCCUUUAAUCUUGGCAAUUGUUCAUGAUUAAUCUACAAAAACUUAUGAUAUUUCAAGGGGUGUUAUGAACAUCUAUAUAUACUCAAAAUUUCAAAAUUCAUUCUUCACCUCUUCCAAUCAAAAACUCUUAGAAAUUUUCAGAAAUUCACAUUGUUUUUCUUCAAUCUUUUUCAAGAUAUUUUCUACACACUUUCAUAUCAUCCAAACUAGAAAAUAUUUUGAGCAAUCUAUUACUUUAAAGAAUUGUGAAUUAUUAUCAUUGGAAGGGAAGAUCAAUCAAGUGAUUGAUACAUUGUUCUACUAUUCAAACUCUUAUACAAAAUCAAAUACUUGUUGUAUUCUUGUUAUCCAGGAUUGUUGGAAACAAGUUAGACACUUUGAGAGGAUUGUUCUCAUAAGUGGUCUUAGUGAAAAAUCCAAGAGGAUUGUUCUUGGUCCAAGAGGAUUGUUCUUGGUGUUUGGUUAGGCUUGUACAAGAUACCAAUUAUAUUGAAAUCUCUUACUGCGUAAGGGGACUGGAGUACCCUCGGUUUGUGAGGGGAACCAGGAUAUA